rnacentral:rRNA from 1 species
AUUGAACGCUGGCGGCAUGCCUUACACAUGCAAGUCGAACGGUAGCGGGCCUUCGGGUGCCGACGAGUGGCGAACGGGUGAGUAAUGUAUCGGAACGUACCUUUCAGUGGGGGAUAACGUAGCGACAGUUGCGCUAAUACCGCAUAUUCUGUGAGCAGGAAAGAAGGGGAUCGCAAGACCUUGCGCUGCUUGAGCGGCCGAUAUCAGAUUAGCUAGUUGGUGAGGUAAAGGCUCACCAAGGCGACGAUCUGUAGCGGGUCUGAGAGGAUGAUCCGCCACACUGGAACUGAGACACGGUCCAGACUCCUACGGGAGGCAGCAGUGGGGAAUUUUGGACAAUGGGGGCAACCCUGAUCCAGCCAUGCCGCGUGAGUGAAGAAGGCCUUCGGGUUGUAAAGCUCUUUCGGCCGGGAAGAAAUCGUAUCAGCUAAUACCUGGUGCGGAUGACGGUACCGGCAUAAGAAGCACCGGCUAACUACGUGCCAGCCGCCGCCGUAAUAC